rnacentral:tRNA from 1 species
UUUAUUGUAGUUUACUAGAGAACGUGUGAAUUUGGGUCAUAAGGAUUAAACGGUUAUUGUUUUCCAAUAGGU